rnacentral:rRNA from 1 species
UAGAGUUUGAUCAUGGCUCAGAUUGAACGCUGGCGGCAGGCCUAACACAUGCAAGUCGAGCGGUAACAGGAAUUAGCUUGCUAAUUCGCUGACGAGCGGCGGACGGGUGAGUAAUGCCUGGGAAUAUGCCUUGAUGUGGGGGAUAACUAUUGGAAACGAUAGCUAAUACCGCAUAAUGUCUUCGGACUAAAGAGGGGGAUUUUCGGACCUCUCGCGUCAAGAUUAGCCCAGGUGAGAUUAGCUAGUUGGUGGGGUAAGAGCUCACAAAGGCGACGAUCUCUAGCUGGUCUGAGAGGAUGAUCAGCCACACUGGAACUGAGACACGGUCCAGACUCCUACGGGAGGCAGCAGUGGGGAAUAUUGCACAAUGGGCGAAAGCCUGAUGCAGCCAUGCCGCGUGUAUGAAGAAGGCCUUCGGGUUGUAAAGUACUUUCAGUCGUGAGGAAUGGUGUGUAGUUAAUAGCUGCACAUCUUGACGUUAGCGACAGAAGAAGCACCGGCUAACUCCGUGCCAGCAGCCGCGGUAAUACGGAGGGUGCGAGCGUUAAUCGGAAUUACUGGGCGUAAAGCGCAUGCAGGUGGUUCAUUAAGUCAGAUGUGAAAGCCCGGGGCUCAACCUCGGAACCGCAUUUGAAACUGGUGAACUAGAGUGCUGUAGAGGGGGGUAGAAUUUCA